UCCAACAUGUUUCCUCUUAAAGAAGGCCCUGUGGGACUGGGAGAAGUUGGAUUUAUGAGUGUGCCUUUAACAAGUACUGAGGUUAGGAAUUUUAAAAAGGAAAUGAGGCCACUUUUAGAAGAUCCCCUUGGUUUAGCAGAACAGCUAAAUCAAUUUUUAGGACCCAAUUUUUAUACUUGGGCUAAGAUAAUGUUUAUCAUGAAUAUCCUGUUUACUGAAGAAAAGAGGGCAAUAAUUAGAAGGGCAGCCAUGAUCAUUUGGGUGAGACAGCAUCCUCCUGGGCAAGGAGUCCUACUGGCUGAGUGGAAAUCCCCAAAUGCGAAUCCUGAAUGGGAUAACAAUGACCCCAGGCAUCAGGCCCAAAUGCAAGGCCUUAGGGAACUAAUCAGGGGGAUUGAAGACUCCAUUCCUGGGACACAAAAUGUCUUGAAAGCAUUUGAGAUUCAACAAGAAAAAGAGGAGACUGCCUCUGCAUUUCUGCAGAGGCCCUGGGAUCAAAUGAAAAAAUACUCAGGAAAUAGAUCCAGAGGACCCAGUAGGGCAAGGCGUUUUAAAGGUUAAUUUUGUAACUAAAAGCUGGCCUGAUAUUACUAAGACACUACAAAACAUUGAUGGAUGGAAUGAGAAACCGAUUGAGGAAUUACUGAGGGAAGCUCAGAAGGUCUUUGUAAGAAGAGAGGAAGAGAGGAAGAGAAGCAAAACAGAAUUCAAAAAUCAUGUUUUCCACUGUAGAGGAAGUAAUCAGAAAGAGAUGAGAUCAAGACCCCUCUCAGAGGGGACAAGAUAAUACUAGGUCUCAGCAAAGAGACUGGAGGCAAAUACAAGGAAAAACUCCCAAGACUGUAAGUGGAUGUUGCAAAUGUGGGAAACCAGGGCAUUUUUUUUUUUUUUAUUUUGAGAUGGAGUCUCGCUCUGUUGCCCAGGCUGGAGUGCAGUGGAGCCAACUCUGCUCACUGCAAGCUCCGCCUCCUGGGUUCAUGCCAUUCUUCUGCCUUAGCCUCCGGAGUAGCUGGGACUACAGUCACCCGCCACCACGCCCGCCUAAUUUUUUUGUAUUUUUUAGUAGAGACGGGGUUUCACCGUGUUAGCCAGGAUGGUCUCGAUCUCCUGACCUCGUGAUCCACCUGGCUCGGUCUCCCAAAGUGCUGGGAUUACAGGCGUGAGCCACCGCACCCGGCUGAAACUGGGGCAUUUUAAGAAAGAACGUCCGGAAUGGAAAAAGGAAGAAAAGCCAUGCCAUGGGGCUCUAGACUCCAGGCCAUUAGCUUCGACCCUGCCCAGUCCUGGAGAGCCACCAUAAACCUCGUUCCAUGCCCCAACAGCUCCGACAGAUGCUGAGAGAAUUGGUUGGAUCUGAGAGUGUAGACCUACCACCCUCUGUCUUUUCACCGGCAAGUGAAGUGAAGUCACUGCUGUGUGCCACUUUUCCUUUAUCUUCUGAGACCAUUCUUGGAACGUCCACUAGAAUAUGAUUGAUAUCAUUAAGAAGCCAAAUAUAAAAGACUAUGCCAAAAAAGAUCAGGCAUCAGAACAAGGAGAAAUCACAUGAUAGGCUCCAUCUUCCCUCGUCGUCAUGUCUGCAGAUUUUCCGUUGUGUAAGGAAGCUAGCCUAGCCCCAGGAGCAGAGCCAGUGAGUGUCUGCAGGUUUUCCAUUGUGUAAGGAAGCUAGCCUAACUGGGGGGUGGAGGGGGUCAGUGUCCACAGGGUUUUCCCUGCUGUGACAACUGAGAGUUUUUCGUUCCUUUGAGCCCCACUUUGAAACCUCUCUGCCUCAUAACUGCAGGGUGUGGGGCCCACGGCCGGUUCUGCAGAGCCUGCACUGUCUCUCUUUGGAGCAGUCAGUGGUGGAGCUCGGGCUGGCCCUAAACAAUGAGGACCAGGAUCCUUGGGAUGGCCCUACCUGUGGAAUAAAUGGAUACAAAACCCACUACUGGGAGCCAGGCCUCAUGCCAGGUGUUUGUCAGGUGCCUCUGUUUGAAGAGGAGGAGUGGGAUUCUGGAAGGGGCAGCCCGGCCAAGGAAAUGCCCUGUCUUUGAUGCCAGAAGCAUUGGGAUUUGCAUCUGCUCCUGCAUAGCUGGGGUGUUUCCAGAAUCGAGGGUGGAGAGAAGCAAAAUGGACACCGGCCUGGCGGCCUGACCCUUCAGGGAGCCUGGAACACCACCCAGAGAAGCUUCCAAGGGCUGGACAGGCCAUAGGGAGUGGUGGGCACCGGGCCGUUCUGACCAUGCAAACAGCAACACCUGUGGUCCUACCUGCUGCACGGUCCCCAUGGGAAGUGCUCUGAUGGGAAGCUGUGAUGGGUGCUCCUAGGAAGGCCGCCCCCAGCACGGUGGGCCUGGGCCUAAGGAUGUGAAGCCUCUGCCAUGUGUCCCCAUAUGUAAGAGGGAUCCAAAAUCUCCUGGACCAGAAUUUCAUCUUGGGAGAAGCACACAAGAUCACGUUAGAGUCGGCCCCACAGGGCUGGCCCUUGGCUCCUGUCCCCUAAGGCCAUCUGUACACACAGUGAAUGGGAAACAGGAACUCCGGGAACCCAGGGGAUGUGGGACUUGACUUUCGAAAGAACCUUCUCUGGGUGGGCAGGCCGCUGCCUCCCUCAAUAAUUUUGGAAAAACUGAGACCAUUUGGACGUUUUGGACACUGAACAUUGUCCCCCAAAGGUACAAGGCUGGACGCUUGGCCCAUACGUGGUCCUGUCUCCUUCCUGCCCUGGGUCCCUCUGUCCCAUCUCUGAGGCUCUCCCAAAGCUGCCCUCUGUGUGUGAGUAAGCGUCGCUCCUGAUCUCUGUGUCAACACAGCCUCAUUUUCUUCUUUUACGUCCCUAUGGGCCCUCCUAGGGAGCUUUUACCAUGAGAGCCCUGAGCUUUGUGCCUGACAGACCCAGAAAAAACUCACAAGCUCUGCUCCCACCAGAAUGUGAUCUUGGACAAGCAUCCUCACGGCUCUGAGCUUUGGUUUCCUGUCUGUAAAACGGGGGAGAGGCUGAAAUACAAACAAUGACGAGCACAACCAUCAAAACAGAGCCAACCACACCUGCAGCAGCCAGUCCAGGGGGCUGGCCUGCUCCGCAGUAAGACUUGCCAGAAAUCAGACCUCCUCUAGCAACGACUCAGGCAGCCAAAGCGCAAUCCCUGGACUAGCCAGCCCCAGAGGGCCAGGAAUGCAUCCAUCACCGACAGCUCCUAUGGCUUUUGUCUUCGCUUCCAACUCGGAGCCAACCAGAGAAAGCCACACACGCUCCCUCACUAACCCUUUGCCGCCCGUCUGAUGAGCCACCCCGAGUGCCCCUGGUCAAAGCCUCCUUGGGACCUGGGCUUCCCUUGCCCUAGUGAGGCCUCAUCCCCUGCCUGACUCGAAGGCUCUGAAAUUGCACGUGAUGGUGACUCGGAGGCUCUGAAAUUGCACAGGAUGGUGGUGACUCGGAGGCUCUGAAAUUGCACGUGAUGGUGGUGACUGCCCUCCCACAGCAAGCUCUGGACAGACAGUCUCGGCCUGGCCUGCCUGGGUGGGCUGCGCUGACCUCCACAGGGAUUUGAAUUCUCACUGUCAAUGCUUUCAGCUUUCUACCUAGAAGAAAUCUGGGGGUGUGGAUGGGGGUAAGAGCUGCCGCCUCCUUCUAGGUUUAGUUGGUCAGGACCCAGGAAAACUAUCAGAAACGCCAGCCACUCUUUCCUCUUCCGGAAUCCUUUUCUGAGGCCACUGUUUCUCCGGGGGUGGCUGAGACACUGGCUGGAGCAGGUGCUGGUCUCAGGACUAAAACUCUCAGCAUCUGGCAACCGCCAGAUUCACCAGGAAAGUGAGUACGGUCACAGCCAUUCCUUGACCCUGGGGAGUCUAACUCCUGCCUGGGGCAGUUCGCUUGAGUACCCAGAAAGUGGACGGGGCGGCAGGAGCGAGAAUGGGAACAUCCAUUCAUUCACUGGAGCGCUCACUCAUCCAUCCACGUAACCCAUCAAACACGCAGGCAGGCAGAGCUUUUCCCAGGCCUCUCCCACCCAGAUGUGGAAAGGGAGCAAAGCCUGACUUCUGACAGCGACAGCUCCUGGAAAGGGCCCAGCACUUGGGGGCCCUGCGUUCCCACGGGAGCCCCUGUUCGAGGCCGUGCAGCCUUCACAGCCACAGUCCCAGGCCCUGCUGGGUGGAAGGUGGCCCCACCCUCUACUCCUGACCCCACUCCACAGGCAAUGCUGGCAGAGAAGUCCUGGGAGGUGACUGUUUCCCAAGGGCAUCGAUGUGAGCAGGGGUCAGGACUGCAUGCUCUGAGUCCCAGCAUUCUAGGCCUCAGUUUCCCCACAUGUAAAACGAGAGGUCAGAGCAGAACUGCGGGCGCUGGCCACACGUUCACACACUGGAGUGUGGCUGUCCACAUGGAAAUGGCCAUGAAGGCAAAGGACACAUGGAACUGUGGAGAUCCAGCGUGAUGGAAAGACUGAAACAUCUCAUUAGUAAUUUGACACUGAUCACAUGUUGAAAUCAUUACGUGAAAUAAAAUGUUAUUGCAAUGA